UACGAAGGGUGCAAGCGUUACUCGGAAUUACUGGGCGUAAAGCGUGCGUAGGUGGUUUGUUAAGUCUGAUGUGAAAGCCCUGGGCUCAACCUGGGAAUUGCAUUGGAUACUGGCAGGCUAGAGUGCGGUAGAGGAUGGCGGAAUUCCCGGUGUAGCAGUGAAAUGCGUAGAGAUCGGGAGGAACACCGAUGGCGAAGGCAGGUCUCUGGGCCGAUACUGACGCUGAGGAGCGAAAGCGUGGGGAGCGAACAGG
rnacentral:rRNA from 1 species